GGAGCUCAUAUUCGAAUGGAGAAAAUGUCAACAAGUAUCCCACGGAGUGAACACUUCAAAAGGAGAAGCACAGGUGAGAAAAUCGAAUUUGGACACCGUUGAGGAGACUAUUGCAGUCAUCCAAGCUCAAGAUGGUGGAGCUUCAUCCUUGAGAAUAACCAAUGGGGAUAGAUUUAAGAGACACUUAGAGUCUGCAGCCAACAGGGCUGAAUGAGCAGAGAGUUAUGAUUCAGAAGAUCAUCUAAAAUUGAACAGCUGCCACUACUGGCAAUAAGUCUACUGCCAUUUGGUAGAUAACCUUCUUAUCACACAGAAAAAUAUCAGUACAGACAAAUAGACCGCAAAGAAAAUGAGACCAUCAGCAAAGAAGAUAAAGAAGUUUGUACAAAGCAACUUUUUAUAAAUGGAUGGCUGUCAGGCAAAAAUAAAUUUCCUGUGGACAAGACCAAGAGCAAGGCAAGAGGAAAAUAAACAUGUUUAAACUA
rnacentral:lncRNA from 1 species